UUUAUCAUGUAUAUAUUAUGUAUGUACGUUUUUAUCAAAAUGACUGUAACGAGGUGAGACUAUAUUAAACAAUCUUUCUAAUUUCACAUGACAA